CCUACGGGCGGCUGCAGUGGGGAAUAUUGGACAAUGGGCGAAAGCCUGAUCCAGCCAUGCCGCGUGUGUGAAGAAGGCCUUCGGGUUGUAAAGCACUUUCAGUGGGGAAGAAAGCCUUGGGGCUAAUACCCUCGAGGAAGGACAUCACCCACAGAAGAAGCACCGGCUAACUCCGUGCCAGCAGCCGCGGUAAUACGGAGGGUGCGAGCGUUAAUCGGAAUUACUGGGCGUAAAGCGCGCGUAGGCGGUCUGAUAAGCCGGUUGUGAAAGCCCCGGGCUCAACCUGGGAACGGCAUCCGGAACUGUCAGGCUAGAGUGCAGGAGAGGAAGGUAGAAUUCCCGGUGUAGCGGUGAAAUGCGUAGAGAUCGGGAGGAAUACCAGUGGCGAAGGCGGCCUUCUGGACUGACACUGACGCUGAGGUGCGAAAGCGUGGGUAGCAAACAGGAUUAGAUACCCUAGUGUC
rnacentral:rRNA from 1 species